rnacentral:rRNA from 1 species
AGUGAACGCUGGCGGUAGGCCUAACACAUGCAAGUCGAACGGCAGCACAGUAAGAGCUUGCUCUUACGGGUGGCGAGUGGCGGACGGGUGAGGAAUACAUCGGAAUCUACUUUUUCGUGGGGGAUAACGUAGGGAAACUUACGCUAAUACCGCAUACGACCUACGGGUGAAAGCAGGGGAUCUUCGGACCUUGCGCGAUUGAAUGAGCCGAUGUCGGAUUAGCUAGUUGGCGGGGUAAAGGCCCACCAAGGCGACGAUCCGUAGCUGGUCUGAGAGGAUGAUCAGCCACACUGGAACUGAGACACGGUCCAGACUCCGACGGGAGGCAGCAGUGGGGAAUAUUGGACAAUGGGCGCAAGCCUGAUCCAGCCAUACCGCGUGGGUGAAGAAGGCCUUCGGGUUGUAAAGCCCUUUUGUUGGGAAAGAAAAGCAGCAGGUUAAUACCCCGCUGUUCUGACGGUACCCAAAGAAUAAGCACCGGCUAACUUUGUG